rnacentral:rRNA from 1 species
CCUACGGGAGGCAGCAGUGGGGAAUAUUGCACAAUGGGGGAAACCCUGAUGCAGCGACGCCGCGUGAGUGAAGCAGUAUUUCGGUAUGUAAAGCUCUAUCAGCAGGGAAGAAAAUGACGGUACCUGAUUAAGAAGCCCCGGCUAACUACGUGCCAGCAGCCGCGGUAAUACGUAGGGGGCAAGCGUUAUCCGGAUUUACUGGGUGUAAAGGGAGCGUAGACGGCAGCACAAGUCUGGAGUGAAAUGCCGGGGCUUAACCCCGGAACUGCUUUGGAAACUGUGCAGCUAGAGUGCAGGAGAGGUAAGUGGAAUUCCUAGUGUAGCGGUGAAAGGCGUAGAUAUUAGGAGGAACACCAGUGGCGAAGGCGGCUUACUGGACUGUAACUGACGUUGAGGCUCGAAAGCGUGGGGAGCGAACAGGAUUAGAUACCCCAGUAGUC